rnacentral:misc_RNA from 1 species
GAUGAAGAACGUAGCGAAAUGCGAUAAGUAAUGUGAAUUGCAGAAUUCAGUGAAUCAUCGAAUCUUUGAACGCACAUUGCGCCCGCUAGUAUUCUGGCGGGCAUGCCUGUCCGAGCGUCAUUUCAACCCUCAAGCCCCCGGGCUUGGUGUUGGGGAUCGGCGAGCCUCCGCGCCCGCCGUCCCCUAAAUCUAGCGGCGGUCUCGCUGUAGCUUCCUCUGCGUAGUAGCACACCUCGCACUGGGAAACAGCGCGGCCACGCCGUUAAACCCCCAACUUCUGAACGUUUGACCUCGUAUCAGGUAGGAAUACCCGCUGAACUUAAGCAUAUCAAUAAGCGGAGGA